rnacentral:tRNA from 1 species
GCCCAAGUGGUGAAAUUGGUAGACACGCACGACUCAAACUCGUGUGCGAAAGCUUGUGGGUUCGAGUCCCACCUUGGGCA